rnacentral:ncRNA from 2 species
CGAUCCCACGCGGGAGAGUCGACGGCGCGAUCGGUCCUUCUCGGAGGAGUGGUCGCGUGCGUUGCGCCGAAGGGGCAAUUCCUCCCCGGAACCUCUCAGGCACCCGAACCGCGCGGAGCAG